UCCAACCACCACCGAACAGACUUUCCAUACCCCUCUACUGUCAAACCCUUGCCUCCAACAUCACCACCACUAUUCAUCAACCUUCCUUCCCAUUCAGUACCAAAGUACACAGCAUGGCUCCUUGUAUCUGUUCCUAUUUUUUAUGUCUUUCUUAGCUACUCCUUUGGAGCUACGACUAGACUUACUGUCAAUGAAAAGUGAGUGGGAGAUGAAUGUCAAAAUCAAUCUCAGAAGAUGUUGAGAUAUCAAGGGUCUAAUGCAGCAAGCAAUAGAAGAAACGGGUUGUCAGAAUUUCUUUUAGAGAAAACUACCACGAAAAGGUAAGAACUAAGAGACUCGAAAGAAAAGAAGGAACAUUCAGUUCCAAUUAGCCUUCUCCCGGAUGCGCACCGGAGAUUGAACUUGACAUUUGGACGCGCGCGUAUCCGGGACAGACACAUCGGUGACAUCACAUGCAUAUAUUACACACUAUUUUAAUAUAAAUAUCUACUAAAAGUAUCUGAAUUUUUUUGUAUAUGUAAUAUUUUAUUAGUAUAUAGAAUUAUUCUUAUACAAAUUUGUUAAUUUAUCAAUAUUUUAUUAGCAUUGUUGUGAAAUUACAUUCAUUAUAUAUAUAUAUGUAUUGGUGGGAAAUAUCAUUAAUUC